UAGUAUAGUGGACAGUAUCUCCGCCUGUCACGCGGAAGACCAGGGUUCGAUUCCCCG
rnacentral:tRNA from 1 species